AUUUCGGUCUCGUUUUUAAAAGAAUCUGGCUCAUCCUUAAAUCUGAACCCUUUCAAUCAUAUUGACAUUCUAUACUGAAAAGAAAUCUAUUAUGUGGCUGUCCUCACGUAAAGAUCCUUACAUUUAGCCUUAAGUUUAUUUUUAAUUAGGAUGAACUGAAACAAGGGUUAGAGUUGAUGGGAGAACAUAUAACUGACGAAAUGCUGGACAGUAUGAUCGAAGAGGCAGACGCUGAUCACGACGGCAGAAUUAAUUAUGAAGAAUUUGUCCACGUCAUGAAUUCAUCAUAGUCUACAAGUGUUGUGCAGUGACUAUCAUAUGGCUGGGGAACACUCGAAUGCCCCUUUUUCACUUCGUGGACCUAUGCCACUUGUCACUAAUGUCGUAACAUUACCAGAAGACUCGUUUUAAGUAUCUGGAUUUUCAAAAUUGCCCCAAGAAGUGAAAUACUCUACAUUUUACUUAUUAGGCAUUAAGAAGUCUUCCAGUUCGUUAUUACAUCAAGGUGUCAGCACGCUGUGCAACUGAUAUCUAAAUACGCAGGCAGUAGGGGAAGACUGCCAUCAACGACAAUUCAGAAUGCAUUUACUACUUCUAUAAAUUACAAUUGUCUGGUCUACGAUACAUACAUUUCAAUGCAUUGAUCAGAAUUUGAAUAAAGGUUGAAAACAAGUCGGGCAAA